UAGGGAAUCUUCCACAGUGGACGCAAGUCUGAUGGAGCAACGCCGCGUGAGUGAAGAAGGGUUUCGGCUCGUAAAGCUCUGUUGGUAGUGAAGAAAGAUAGAGGUAGUAACUGGCCUUUAUUUGACGGUAAUUACUUAGAAAGUCACGGCUAACUACGUGCCAGCAGCCGCGGUAAUACGUAGGUGGCAAGCGUUGUCCGGAUUUAUUGGGCGUAAAGCGAGUGCAGGCGGUUCAAUAAGUCUGAUGUGAAAGCCUUCGGCUCAACCGGAGAAUUGCAUCAGAAACUGUUGAACUUGAGUGCAGAAGAGGAGAGUGGAACUCCAUGUGUAGCGGUGGAAUGCGUAGAUAUAUGAAAGAACACCAGUGGCGAAGGCGGCUCUCUGGUCUGCAACUGACGCUGAGGCUCGAAAGCAUGGGUAGCGAACAGGAUUAGAUACCCUGGUAGUCCAUGCCGUAAACGAUGAGUGCUAAGUGUUGGGAGGUUUCCGCCUCUCAGUGCUGCAGCUAACGCAUUAAGCACUCCGCCUGGGGAGUACGACCGCAAGGUUG
rnacentral:rRNA from 1 species